rnacentral:tRNA from 1 species
GGCUCAAUGGUCUAGUAGCAUGAUACGUGCUUCGGGUGUUACCCCGCCACGAAGGUGGUGAAGAUGUACGUGACCCGGGUUCAAUUCCCGGUUGAGCCC